GAUGAAGAACGUAGCGAAAUGCGAUAAGUAAUGCGAAUUGCAGAAUUCAGUGAAUCAUCGAAUCUUUGAACGCACAUUGCGCCACCUGGUAUUCCGGGGGGCAUGCCUGUCCGAGCGUCAUUACAACCCUCAAGCUCAGCUUGGUGUUGGGCCCCGCCGCCCCGGCGGGCCCUAAAGUCAGUGGCGGUGCCGUCCGGCUCCGAGCGUAGUAAUUCUUCUCGCUCUGGAGGUCCGGUCGUGUGCUCGCCAGCAACCCCCAAUUUUUUUCAGGUUGACCUCGGAUCAGGUAGGGAUACCCGCUGAACUUAAGCAUAUCAAUAAGCGGAGGA
rnacentral:misc_RNA from 1 species